rnacentral:tRNA from 1 species
GUCCGGGUGGCGGAAUGGCAGACGCGCUAGCUUGAGGUGCUAGUGCCCUUUAUCGGGCGUGGGGGUNUCGGGCGUGGGGGUUCAAGUCCCCCCUCGGACA